rnacentral:rRNA from 1 species
GACGAACGCUGGCGGCGCGCUUAACACAUGCAAGUCGAACGGAAAGGCCUGCUUUCCCUUGUGGAUUGCGGGUACUCGAGUGGCGAACGGGUGAGUAUCACGUGAGUGAUCUUCCCCCAACUUGUGUAUAAGCCUGGGAAACUGGGUCUAAUUCCCGAUAGGACUGCAGGGUGGUGCCUGUGGUUGAAAACGAUUUUCUAGUGGUUGGGGAUGAGCUCGCGGCCUAUCAGCUUGUUGGUGGCGUAAUGGCCUACCAAGGCGGCGACGGGUAGCCGGUCUGGGGGGGGGGACGGCAAGAUUGGGACCGGGAUACGGGCCAGAGUGCGACGGGAGGCAGCAGUGGGGAAGAUAGCACAAUGGGAGGAAGCAUGAUGCAGCGACGCCGCGUGGGGGAUGACGGCCUUCGGGUUGUAAACUCCUUUCGACCGAGAGGAAGCCACCUGGUUGGAAGGGUGGUGACGGUAGUGGUAGAAGAAGCACCGGCUAAAUACGUG